CGGGCAGGCGGUCUGUUAAGUCGUUUGUGAAAAUCCGGGGCUCAACCCCGUGAAAUGCAGACGAUACUGGCAGACUAGAGAAUGGUAGAGGCUAGCGGAAUUCCUGGUGUAGCGGUGGAAUGCGUAGAUAUCAGGAAGAACACCUGUGGCGAAGGCGGCUAGCUGGGCCAUUUCUGACGCUCAUCCGCGAAAGCGUGGGAGCAAACA
rnacentral:rRNA from 1 species